rnacentral:lncRNA from 1 species
AAAAAAUAAAAAUAAAAAAAAAACAAGUUAUUGCAAAAGCAACCCUGACACAGGAUGAGUAAACUGUACUGGCCAUAUCGGGAAAUGCUGUGGACCGUAGUGAGAGGGAUGGCUCAUCUAAAGGCUCGCUUCCAUUUUCCUAUGUAUUUUACUAACACUGAGAGGAGAGGGAGCCCCACCUUGCUGUUCCUUCUGCUUCCGCUUUAAAGCUCUGCCUGCAGAAGCCCAGGGAAUACGUCUGAAGGAAUUUGUAAAUCUCGUGGAACUUAUGAAGUGUAUCCACGUGGCUCAGCAACCCACAGAUGAAAGAAGGAGACAUCUUUUAUAUUUAUGAAAUUUGAAGAGGACACUAUCAGGUUCAAAAGCAGCCUUGAUUCCGC